rnacentral:tRNA from 2 species
GCGGGUAUAGUUUAGUGGCAGAAUGAUUGCCUUCCAAGCAAUAGACGGGAGUUCGAUUCUCCCUACCCGCA